ACUGGAAAUCAAGCGUGAAGUCCAAAGCGGCACGCAUUCGAACGUCCAGGAGCAGGACAGGGGGUGGUCCACCCUCGAAAGACCAUUUGACGCCAACAGAGGAGGCAUUAGUUAGCUUGCUGGGGGAAGUCUGCAUUGGUGGCCUGAGCACGACCGCUGAACUUUGCUUGGGGGUCAAGCUCACGCCAGCACUGCAGAACAGCCACUGGCUGCUAAUGCGUUGCUCUUGCGCGAAAUGACUGAAAACAAUGGGAAUGCUCCUAGUGAGGCGCAGAAUGUCUCGUUCCAAACAUCCCAGGACACUGAGAUUUUGUCGCAAGCUUUGGCGACAGAUAGCCCAUCUCAGGCGGGCGGGGAUGUCGGUGACCUGGCUUCGUCACCCCCUCAAGCAGAACGGCGAGAAACUGGGGAAGCGGAGGAAAGGGAGCCCAGGCACAGGAGGCGAAGACGGAUAAGGGCCCUACGGCUUCAGUAUCAAAACGAAGUUGGGCAAAGCUUUCUUAGCUUGCAGACAGAGCAACACCGAAUGCUUCGUGAAAUCUCCGGCUUCAUCGCAGCACUAGUAGGGGCGGUGAACAGGUUGGCUGCUGCUGAGCGGCAAAGCACAACCCUCAGCGAAAUUAAGGAAAUAAUAAGCAGAGGGAAUUGCGACAUACCCUCAACAUCCGGCAUCUGCUCUUGCCAUGUACUGCCUCGAAUAACAGUCAAACUGCGCUACUAUUUCGCUCGGGAUUUUCAAU